UGGGGAAUAUUGCACAAUGGGCGCAAGCCUGAUGCAGCGACGCCGCGUGAGGGAUGACGGCCUUCGGGUUGUAAACCUCUUUCAACGCCGACGAAGCGUAAGUGACGGUAGGCGUAGAAGAAGCACCGGCCAACUACGUGCCAGCAGCCGCGGUAAUACGUAGGGUGCGAGCGUUGUCCGGAAUUACUGGGCGUAAAGAGCUCGUAGGUGGUUGUCGCGUUGUUCGUGAAAACUCACAACUCAAUUGUGGGCGUGCGGGCGAUACGGGCAGACUGGAGUACUGCAGGGGAGACUGGAAUUCCUGGUGUAGCGGUGGAAUGCGCAGAUAUCAGGAGGAACACCGGUGGCGAAGGCGGGUCUCUGGGCAGUAACUGACGCUGAGGAGCGAAAGCGUGGGGAGCGAACAGGAUUAGAUACCCUGGUAGUCCACGCCGUAAACGGUGGGUACUAGGUGUGGGUUUCCUUCCGUUGGGAUCCGUGCCGUAGCUAACGCA
rnacentral:rRNA from 1 species